rfam:Clostridium sp. CAG:230 genomic scaffold, scf260
GGGGUUGUACUGGUUUCGACGGGCUCACUGAAGAUGGAGAAGCUGUUCGUGGUCGGGAACCACGUAAAAAGCUCGAAUUAAAUUUAAACGCUGAAGAUAAUUUAGCAUUAGCUGCCUAGUUGCAGCUCAUCGGCCCUUGUGCCCCGCCACAAGGAUCACCGGUGUCGACUAGCGGGACACUCUGUUGCCAAAGCUUUGCGGUGAUGGAAAAUUUAUGAAGCUACUAAAGUAUAGAGCCUGUUAGUGGGCGUUAUACGGAGGGAAUGUUAAAACACUGACUAUAACAGUAGAAGUACAUUGAAUCUGGGUUCGGACAGGGGUUCGAUUCCCCUCAGCUCCACUU